UACGGGGGGGGCAAGCGUUGUUCGGAAUUACUGGGCGUAAAGCGCACGUAGGCGGCUUUGCAAGUUAGAGGUGAAAGCCCGGGGCUCAACUCCGGAAUUGCCUUUAAAACUGCAUCGCUAGAGUUGUGGAGAGGUAAGUGGAAUUCCGAGUGUAGAGGUGAAAUUCGUAGAUAUUCGGAAGAACACCAGUGGCGAAGGCGACUUACUGGACACAAACUGACGCUGAGGUGCGAAAGCGUGGGGAGCAAACAGG
rnacentral:rRNA from 1 species